rnacentral:tRNA from 1 species
UGCAAUAUGGCGAAAUUUGGUAUCCGCGUUCGAUUUAGGAUCGAAUAACAUGUUUUAAGAGUUCGAGUCUCUUUGUUGCUA